CACUGUCAUGAUCGUGUGCAGGAUUGGACAAAACAAGAUAGCAGACGGCAUUUCCAAACAAAGGUAUCAAGCCCUAGAACUUCAUUCCAUGAGAUGGGUACACUUCGAAUGUGCGAAAUUGGUGGUGAGAAAUUCAAGACCAAUUCUGAAUUUCGUAGGCAUGUAAAAAGGAAACAUCAAUCAGAGAAAUUGUCUUCGUUUGUGACCAGUGCAACACACGCUUUUGCACAUUAUAAAAGAAACAUGAAGUAAAAAAAAUUACAUUGUUUUCUGAAUACACGAAGUGCAUACAUAUACCAUGGCAACCAUUUUAUAUAUCCGUUUAUGUACAUUAUGAAACGAUUAUUUUUACGGUUUUGUUUGACAGAGAUACUACUAAUCUUUUGCAUUGCAUUUUACACAUGUUGAUUUGUUAUUUCAUUGAACCAGAAGUGUUCUUAAUUUUUACUUGUUAUUAAAUAUAUUUCAAUGUUA